rnacentral:rRNA from 1 species
CCUACGGGAGGCAGCAGUGAGGAAUAUUGGUCAAUGGACGAGAGUCUGAACCAGCCAAGUAGCGUGAAGGAUGAAUGCCCUAUGGGUUGUAAACUUCUUUUAUAUGGGAAUAAAAUGUUCCACGUGUGGGAUUUUGUAUGUACCCUAUGUAUAAGGAUCGGCUAACUCCGUGCCAGCAGCCGCGGUACUACGGAGGAUCCGAGCGUUAUCCGGAUUUAUUGGGUUUAAAGGGAGCGUAGGUGGAUUGUUAAGUCAGGUGUGAAAGUUUGCGGCUCAACCGUAGAAUUGCAGUUGAAACUGGCAGUCGUGAGUACAGUAGAGGUGGGCGGAAUUCGUGGUGUAGCGGUGAAAUGCUUAGAUAUCACGAAGAACUCCGAUUGCGAAGGCAGCUCACUGGACUGCAACUGACACUGAGGCGCGAAAGUGUGGGUAUCAAACAGGAUUAGAUACCCCUGUAGUC